CUACGGGUUGCAGCAGUCGAGGAAAUUUUACAAUGCUCGAAAGAGUGAUAAAAUGAGCCAAAGUGUUUCUCUUAGAGAAACUUUUAUUUGUUGUAAAAAGACAGAUGAAUAAGGACUGGGUAAGACCGGUGCCAGCCGCCGCGGUAAUACCGGCGGUCCAAGUCGCAUCCACAAUUAUUGGGUCUAAAACAUUCGUAGCUUGUUCUGUAAGUCUCUUGUGAAAUUCUAUAUCUUAAGUAUGGAGCCUGCAAGAGAUACUACAUUACUUGAGACCGGAAGACGCAAAGAGUAUGAUUAAGGUAGCGGUAAAAUGUGUUAAUCUUAAUCAGACUAACAAUAGCGAAGGCACUUUGCGAGUACGGAUCUGACAGUGAGGAAUGAAGGCUAGGGGCGCAAAAGGGAUUAGAUACCCCAGUAGUC
rnacentral:rRNA from 1 species